AUGUUAAUAUACGUUUUUUCAGGAUACCUUCUAUAUUUACGCCAGGGAAAAAGCUCUGCGCCUUGUCACAACGACGUAGAGAAAUGUGGAUCAAAGCUUUAAGAAGAGAAGAUCUAACGGAUACGAAAAUUAAAUAUGGACGUAUUUGUUCACGUCAUUUCCACUCUGGAAAACCAGCAGCUUUGAAGGAUACCACUCAUCCUGACUGGGUUCCAUCGAAAAACAUGGGUUACAACGUUACUGGCAAAAAAAAAUUAGAAAGGUAUCAGCGUUGUAAAGCUAGAGAAGUACAGUGUAGUAGGUAUUCCAGAAUCUGGAUUUUUUUCCAUUUAGAAUUCGCAGAUUUCUUCUUUUUUUUCUAAACACAUUUUACCUGUGCCAUCUUGAUUUGUAGAAAGAGGAAGCUGCUGCUACAACUAGUUCUCCAACUGUAGUACCAGAAAUUGAAAACAUCGAGCAUGUUAAACCUUCCUAUGAACAGUUGGAGCUUGCACUACGUUUCAAUUUACAGU